CAGGGACUGAGAUUGGCUGGAAAGGAGAGGAUGGGCGAGGAGAGGAUGGGAGAGGAAAGGAGAGGAGAAGAAAGAGGAGAGGAGCGGAAAUCUGAACACAGGUCACAUCUAGACAGCGUGCAAGUCAGAGCUGCUGUUUCCUUGGGAGGAUUCUGACAGGAUGGCAUAGAAAUUCAAGCCAACACCGCCAGCCCUGGAAAUAAAUAAAUAACACUCUACUAAACAUGUCAAUGGGGACAGAAGCCUGCGGGAAGAAAGCCCACAGAGAAGGAGGGACCUGCCUGCGACUCUCCCCAGGCCUGGACGAGGGACAGUGGACUCUCCAAAGUAUCUGCUCUCGAGGCUGCAUCACCUCACGAGGGAACUGCCCCCUGCUCUGGCUGGUCAAACGGAACCAAGUCCGUCUUCCUGAGAGGUUUGGUCCCCUUCAACCAGCUACAGCAGGGCUGGCAAUGCCCAGUCCUUCGAGAAACAGAAGAGACUCACCUGUGGCUGAAAUUACCUGCUAAAACUUUUCAUGUAAAAACAACUCUCAUUUGGUCAUCAUAUCUGCAUGCUCCCAAGGAAGGCAGAAAAGAGAAGCCCUAGGUUCAAAUGAGAGCAAGGUGCUCAACACACAGAUCUUUUGCACCCACAAGCAGAGCCACACGUGAACUUGACACACACAGUGAGUAAUGGCUUUCACGAUGGAGUUUGUGCAGGCCUGGCCAGCCAGGGGAAGACACUCAGACAUCGAAGGCAGGGCUGUCAGUGACCUAGGUAAAGAAAUUGACUUUAACUAUGGCACAAUUCAAUGUAACUGCAAGUCAGAAUAUGGCUAGUUCCAAGACGUGAUUCUUAAAUAGCGCACCAAGUACACCUAGGACAUAUUUGUUUCAGUUAACUUCAAAUAACCCUUUGUUUUCUCAUCUGUAAAAUAGGGACAAUGACACCUACUUCAAAGUAGCUAUAAGAUUUUUUAAAAGCUAAGAGUCAAAUAUAAGCCCUCAAGAAAUGGCAGCUGCUGUCAUUGUGCUGUUGUAAAUGGCAGUAACAUGAGGACAAGGCUUUGUCCAGGGGUAUUCAUAUCUGGAAGGGGAAGGCCAAAUUUUUUAAAAAUAGAAGUACUCAAAAAAAUAAAACUUUAUUUUAGGUUAUUUUUAUUCCAACCAUUAAUUCUACUAGCAUGCAAAAUGUGUUCCUCCUAGUCUGUCCUAUUAGAAUAUAACAAGUUUUACUAAGACCGGCUGCAUACAUGAGACGGCCAUUGCUAUCUGAAAUAUCUGGUCUGAGAAGCCUUCUUUAAUAAGUGCUCUUAUGAUCUAGUCCAUAACCACACCUCCUCCUGUAUUAGAAAGCCAUGGAGUAUGUGCCCUGUAGUCAAUCCAGAGUGGAGGUUAGAUGUGUGUGCUGGAACUAGACUGCCUGGGCUCAAAUCCCUAUUUACCAGCUGUGCUACCUUGGGCAAGUUGCUUGACCUCUCUGGACCUGUGCUUUCUCAUCAGCAAAGUGGGAACACUGAUAACAGUAUCUACCUUGUAGGGUAUUCAUGGAAAUGAAAUGAAAAUACAUGUAAAGGCCUAAAACUAGUAUUGGGUACACAAUAAGUUCUCGAGAGGUUUUAUCUUUGGCAAUGUUCCUGAAGCUAAAUUGAUGUUCAAUAAAAACUUCUU